GGUAGUCCACGCCCUAAACGAUGUCAAUUAAUUUCUAGUUUUAGUUUUAAAGCUAACGCGUUAAAUUGACCGCCUGGGGAAUACGAUCGCAAGAUUAAAACUCAAAGGAAUUGACGGGGACCCGCACAAGCGGUGGAUGAUGUGGAUUAAUUCGAUGCAACACGAAGAACCUUACCUACCCUUGACAUGUAUAGAAUUUAAUCGAAAGAUUAAAGUGCCUAUAACACAGGUGCUGCAUGGCUGUCGUCAGCUCGUGUCGUGAGAUGUUGGGUUAAGUCCCAUAACGAGCGUAACCCUUUUUUUUUGUUGCUACAGCACUCAAAAAAGACUGCUUAUUUAAAUAAAUAAGAGGAAGGAAAGGACGACGUCAAGUCCUCAUGGCCCUUAUGGGUAGGGCUUCACACGUCAUACAAUGGUUAGUACAAAAAGUUAUAGCAAAUUUUAAAUUAUGAGCUAAUCUAUAAAACUAACCUCAGUUCGGAUUGUACCUUGAAA
rnacentral:rRNA from 1 species